UACAGAGGUGGCAAGCGUUGUUCGGAAUUACUGGGCGUAAAGGGCGAGUAGGUGGCCAUCUAAGUCUGACGUGAAAUCCCCCGGCUUAACCUGGGAACUGCGUCUGAUACUGGACGGCUUGAGUAUGGGAGAGGAACGUAGAAUUCCAGGUGUAGCGGUGAAAUGCGUAGAUAUCUGGAGGAAUACCGGUGGCGAAGGCGGCGUUCUGGACGAUGACUGACGCUGAGACGCGAAAGCGUGGGGAGCAAACAGG
rnacentral:rRNA from 1 species